rnacentral:lncRNA from 13 species
CUGGCAUUUACUGGUGAGUUUGUCUGGUGAUAUGAAGCCACAUGUACGAAGUCACUGGCCCACAUCAAAUAAUAAAAAAAGCACUGUUUCUCAAGCUCAGCACUCUUGCCACUUUUGACCAGAUACUUCUUCGUUGUGGGGGGCUGGCUGUACCAUAUAGGCUCUGUGGGGUGUUUAAGAGCAUCAAUGACCUCGACUUACUAGAUUCCAGUGGCAACCCUCCUCAUGCCUUUAGAAAUCCAAAGUGCCUUUAGAAAUGGCCAAAUCCCCCUGAGAAGAUCACUUUUGGUUGAGAACCACUUGUAUAAAAGGAAUCAUUAGAUUUUCUUAUUAUCAACUGUUGGAAACUAAUGUUUCCUUUUCUUUUCUCUCUUUCUUUUUUUUCUUUUUUUGUAGGAUAGCAGCCCUUCAUUUGUACCUAGUUUAUUGUUGUAAAAAUAUAUGUGAUGGAGACUGACACUGAGCACAGAAAGGACAAGAGUGGAAGAUGGUUUCAGAGAAGAUCUGGCCUACCAGUGAACAUUGGGCAUGGAGUAAACUCACUUUUGUACUGGGCCCUACAGUAUACACAGUACCUCGGCAUAGAACUCCAUCUGAUCUUCACAAAGCAGCUGUUGGUGUGUCAGACCUACAGAAGAACCGAAGCCCUGAAAGAAUUAUAUGAGAGUUCUCAUCCUCUGCCUCAUGCCUGUCUCCUGCCAACACUUGAAGGGCCAGUCUUUUACAUGGAAGGUCUGGUGUAACAGGUGUGUAAGUGGUUUCUUACUGUAGUUCUAAUUAGCAUUUAUCUAAUGACUACUCAUGUUAGGAAACUAUUUUUG